rnacentral:lncRNA from 1 species
UCACCCUCCUUCCUGCACCGAGGGCACCUCGAGGGAACUCCUCGGGAAGGCACCUCCACCGGCAUGCCGCGGCUUUCCCGGCCCCGGCGUUCUCCCCUCCUCCCGCCACCCCGGGGAGCUCCYGGCACCCCGCAGCAGCCAGCCCGAGGUGGCUGGAAAAGGUCCAAGGCGCCAGGUUGGGGGUGUUUUACCCAGGUGGGAAUAAGGGARCAUCCAGGGAGGGAGGCAAAACCGCUCCGGGGGGGUCCCAGCAUCGCCCCGAGGGAAGGUCCGGCGGCUCAUCCCGACCCGGCUGGGCGCAGGCAGCGGCAGGGCCAGCCCGGGCUCCGUGUCACUCUCCCGGGUGCCGGAAUACUCCACGAAUAGCACCCGGYGUUCCCACGGGAGCAGGCACGGGGAGAGCCUCCGCUCCCCAGGAAGCGGCCCCAAGGCGAGCCGAGCCGAGUCCCACCGGGACGCACCUGCCGGCGGCGCCGUUUCCGCCCCGGAUCGCAGCGCCUCCGAGCCCCAGCUGCGCUGCAACCGGAGACCCGCGGGGACGGAGCGGUACCGGGGUUGGGGGGCCCCGGAGAGCUCGGCCGAGCGGCACCGCGGCUCCUACGCGCCCGCGCCGGGGGGCAAAGCGGGGCUUCCCCCCCCCAAGGCGGGGGUCCCCCCGGAGCACCGGGGAGGAGCGAGGCAGCCGAAACGCCCCAACCCACAGCCUGCGGGAAAUGCCACAUCCCGCUCCCACGGAUGGGGUCCGCGUCCCCACGCCCAGCACCCCCUCGCCCCGCGGAGCCGGAGCUGCCCAGCGAGGGGCCGCGGGGGCGUUUCGCAGCAUGGGAAAUGGGCUUCACCUGCCGGAAAGGGGGUGGUUUCCCGGGAAGGGGAGACGGGCGGCACCCCAGGUGCCGGGGCGUGGGAUGGAGCACAGGGCACAUCCCAGGUGCCGGUAUCUAAGCACGGGAGACAGCACGGAUUGCAUCCCAGGUGCCGGCACCAUGACAUGGGACACAGCACAUCCUAGGUAUCAAUGCCGGAGCACAGAGUGCAUCCCAGGUGCCGGUACCAGAGCAGGGAUGGAGCACAAAGCACAUCCCAGGUACCAAUACCGGAGCACAGACUGCAUGCCGGGUACCGGAGCAGGGAUGGAGCACAGCACACAUCCCGGGUACCAAUACCAGAGCACGGCGCACAUCCCGGGUACCAGCACCGGAGCAGGGAUGGAGCACAGCGCACAUCCCGGGUACCAACACCGGAGCAGGGAUGGAGCACAUCCCGGAUGCCAGCACCGGCGCGGCGGGCUGAGCGCGGUGCAGAGCCCAGCCGGCCCCCGGGACCACGGAGGGGGGCUGGACGNNNNNN